rnacentral:rRNA from 1 species
GCAGCCGCCGCGGGAAUACGAAGGGUGCAAGCGUUAAUCGGAAUUACUGGGCGUAAAGCGUGCGUAGGCGGUUUGUUAAGUCUGCUGUGAAAUCCCCGGGCUCAACCUGGGAAUGGCAGUGGAUACUGGCAAGCUAGAGUGUGUCAGAGGAUGGUGGAAUUCCCGGUGUAGCGGUGAAAUGCGUAGAGAUCGGGAGGAACAUCAGUGGCGAAGGCGGCCAUCUGGGACAACACUGACGCUGAGGCACGAAAGCGUGGGGAGCAAACAGGAUUAGAUACCCCAGUAGUCCCUGUCUCUUAUAU